GACAGAGGUGCCGAGCGUUAGGCGGAAUCACUGGGCUUAAAGCGUGUGUAGGCGGGUCGUUAAGUGCCUUGUGAAAUCCCACAGCUCACCUGUGGAACUGCUUGGCAUACUGGCGAUCUUGAGCCACUUAGGGGCAACCGGAACAAACGGUGGAGCGGUGAAAUGCGCAGAUAUCGGGAGGAACACCGGUGGCGAAGGCGGUUCUCUGGGCCUGACCUGACGCUGAGGAGCGAAAGCGUGGGGAGCGAACAGG
rnacentral:rRNA from 1 species